rnacentral:misc_RNA from 1 species
GAUGAAGAACGCAGCGAAAUGCGAUAAGUAAUGUGAAUUGCAGAAUUCAGUGAAUCAUCGAAUCUUUGAACGCACAUUGCGCCCGCCAGUAUUCUGGCGAGCAUGCCUGUUCGAGCGUCAUUUCAACCAUCAAGCCCCAGGCUUGUGUUGGAGCCCUGCGGCUGCCGCAGCCUCCCAAAACCAGUGGCGGGCUCGCUAUCACACCGAGUGCAGUAGUUUACUCUUCGCUCAGGGCGUGUGGCGGGUGCUAGCCGUGAAACCCCCAACUUCUCAAGGCUGACCUCGGAUCAGGUAGGAAUACCCGCUGAACUUAAGCAUAUCAAUAAGCGGAGGA